UACCAACCCGAUGCAAACUGCGAAUACCGGAGAAUGUUAUCACGGGAGACACACGGCGGGUGCUAACGUCCGUCGUGAAGAGGGAAACAACCCAGACCGCCAGCUAAGGUCCCAAAGUCAUGGUUAAGUGGGAAACGAUGUGGGAAGGCCCAGACAGCCAGGAUGUUGGCUUAGAAGCAGCCAUCAUUUAAAGAAAGCGUAAUAGCUCACUGGUCGAGUCGGCCUGCGCGGAAGAUGUAACGGGGCUAAACCAUGCACCGAAGCUGCGGCAGCGACGCUGAUGCGUUGUUGGGUAGGGGAGCGUUCUGUAAGCCUGCGAAGGUGUGCUGUGAGGCAUGCUGGAGGUAUCAGAAGUGCGAAUGCUGACAUAAGUAACGAUAAAGCGGGUGAAAAGCCCGCUCGCCGGAAGACCAAGGGUUCCUGUCCAACGUUAAUCGGGGCAGGGUGAGUCGACCCCUAAGGCGAGGCCGAAAGGCGUAGUCGAUGGGAAACAGGUUAAUAUUCCUGUACUUGGUGUUACUGCGAAGGGGGGACGGAGAAGGCUAUGUUGGCCGGGCGACGGUUGUCCCGGUUUAAGCGUGUAGGCUGGUUUUCCAGGCAAAUCCGGAAAAUCAAGGCUGAGGCGUGAUGACGAGGCACUACGGUGCUGAAGCAACAAAUGCCCUGCUUCCAGGAAAAGCCUCUAAGCAUCAGGUAACAUCAAAUCGUACCCCAAACCGACACAGGUGGUCAGGUAGAGAAUACCAAGGCGCUUGAGAGAACUCGGGUGAAGGAACUAGGCAAAAUGGUGCCGUAACUUCGGGAGAAGGCACGCUGAUAUGUAGGUGAAGUCCCUUGCGGAUGGAGCUGAAAUCAGUCGAAGAUACCAGCUGGCUGCAACUGUUUAUUAAAAACACAGCACUGUGCAAACACGAAAGUGGACGUAUACGGUGUGACGCCUGCCCGGUGCCGGAAGGUUAAUUGAUGGGGU
rnacentral:rRNA from 1 species